rnacentral:rRNA from 1 species
UACGGAGGGGCUAGCGUUAUUCGGAAUUACUGGGCGUAAAGCGCACGUAGGCGGCUUUGUAAGUUAGAGGUGAAAGCCUGGAGCUUAACUCCAGAAUUGCCUUUAAGACUGCAUCGCUUGAAUCCAGGAGAGGUGAGUGGAAUUCCGAGUGUAGAGGUGAAAUUCGUAGAUAUUCGGAAGAACACCAGUGGCGAAGGCGGCUCACUGGACUGGUAUUGACGCUGAGGUGCGAAAGCGUGGGGAGCAAACAGGG